GGAGCACUGUGACAUGCCACUGGGCUCAGCACCCAGGUGAUGUUCCUCUCCUGCCUGGUCCCUUCCAUCAGGGAAUAUUGUACAAAUCUCUGGCCAAGCACCCAGUUGAUGUGACUCUCCUGCUCACUACCUACUCACAGGUUACAUGUCCCAUGUCGCAGAAAAUGUUGUAAUGUAUUGCUGGACCCAGUCACCAGAUGAUGUGUCUCUCCUGCCAAGGCUGUGCCCACAGAGAGCAUUUUGACAUAUCACUGGGCUCAGCACCCAGGUGAAAUGACUCUGCUGCCUGUACUCUGCUUUAAGAGGGGAUUGUAAUAUAUCUGUGGCUGAGCACCUAGGUGAGAUGACUUCUGCGUGGUUUCUGACCUCAGGAAAGAUUGUGACAUAUCUUUGCCGAAAACCUACAUGAUGUGAAUCUGCUGCUCACUUCCUACCGACAGGAGGGAUUGAGACAAUUCUGGAAGCCCAGCACCUAGGUGAUGUGACUUUCAUCUUUUGUUUGGACCGUGUGCACAAAAGGAAGAGUGGCUUAUCACUGGACCUCACACACAGGAGAGAUUGUGACAUAUCUCUGGAAACAGAACCUUAGUGAUGUGACUCUUGUCUCCUGCUGAAGCCAUGCCCACACAAGGGAAAGUGACUUAUCACUGGGCCCAGCACACAGCGCUAUUCACAGGAAAAAUAGUGACACAUCUGUGGGGUUCUCACCGAAAUGAUGUGACUCUCUUGCCUGGGCUCACCUCUCAAGGGAAUUUUGACAUAUUACUGGACCAAGCACCUAGGCCCUGCAUUUAUUGUGUAUUGUGACAUAUGGCUUGGUCCAACACCUAGGUGGUGUGACUCUCUACUUCUUCCUGGGCCAUGCCAAAGAAGAGGAUUGUGACAUGUCACUGGAUCCAGCACCUAGGUCUUUUCCCACAGGGAGCAUUGUGAAAUAUCACUGGGCUCAGCCACCAGGUUAUGUGACCUUCCUGCCUUGCCCUGCUUCCAGGAAAUGUUGUGACAUCCCUCAUACAGCACCCAGGAGACAUGACCCAAAAAGGGAUUAUGACAUAUCUCUGAGCCCAACACCCAAAUGUUGUGACUCUCCUGCCUGGGCUGUGCCUAGAGAAAAUAUAAUAUGUCACUGGGCCCUGCAUGCAAGUGAUCUGAUUCUCCAGCCUGGGCCUUGCCCACAGGGGAGAUUGAGACAUAUUCCAGGUGGAUGGUGACUCUAAGACCAGGAUUCAACACAACUAGAAGGCUUUGACUCUAAUACAAGUCACAGAAGGCUCUGCGACUCUUCUAUUUUCUCUAGGUUAUGCAAAUGGAGGUGGAUUGUGACAUAUCAUAGGGCCAACACAACACACAGUCUACAGGUGGAAUUGGGACUCUCAUGCAUGGAUCCAGUUCAUCAUUGAUACUGUGACUCAUGUACUUGGAUGCAACUCACAGGGGGUGUUGACGCUUUUACCUGAAGCUGGGACAUGUGUGGAAUUGUGAAUCUUAGCCCUAGAUCUUCCCACAAGUAUGACUGUGACAUAUACUUUUGCCUAGCACCUGAGUGAUUUUACUUCCCUGCCUGGGCCCAGCUCUCAGAAAAGAUUGUGAUGUGACUCUCUUGCUUGAGCCCUACCCACAGAGGCUAUUGUGAAAUUUCACUGGGCCCAGCACUUAGGUCAUGUGACUCUUAUUUUCAGCCUGGGCCCUGUCCACAAAGUCACUGUGAGAUGUCACUGAGCCCAGCACCUCUGUGAUGUGACUGUACUGCCUGGGCCCUGCCCACA